CUUGUCCAGUUCAAGCCUCAGAAUAACCUUCCCCCAGGGCCAGGAGGAGAGAGAUGACACCGUAAGAUGUCCAUUCUGCUGCCUUGAGGAAGGCCUCUGGGGAACUAGUUGCUCCUGACACAAACUUCCCACCAGUAUCCCUACUUCUUUCCCACCUGUCCUGCACCCCAGCCCCCACGACACCUUCUGUGCCCACCUCCUGAGCUUCCAGAGUCCUGUGGUGAGAAUUUAAAAUUGUAUUUAUUUUUAAUGCAUUUAUUUGGCUGCACCAGGUCUCAGCUGCUGCACUAGGGAUAUUUAGUGGCAGCAUGUGAACUCUUAGUUGUGGCACGUGGGAUCCAGUUCCCUGACCAGGAAUUGAACCCAGCUUGCCUGCAUCGGGAGCAUGGAGUCUUAGCUAGUGGACCACCAGGGGAGCAUGCCCUCCUGCUCUCUGAGCACAUUCAGGUCUCAACUUUCCGCAUUCUGGACUGUCUUGAGCCUGUUCAUCGAGCUUAGCCUGGUAUUUAGGAUAAAGCGUCUGCCUGCAAUGCAGGAGACCUGGGUUCGAUCCCUGGGUUGGGAAGAUCCCCUGGAGAAGGAAAUGGCAAACCGUUCCAGUAUUCUUGCCUGGAGAAUUCCAGGAGGAGUCCGGCGGGCUACAGUCCAUGGGGUCGCAAAGGGUCGGACACGACUGAGUGACUUCACACUCACACUCACAGUCUACUUUAGCUCUCUUGAAUCUUUUCUUAUCUUAUCAUUCAUUCAUUCAAUAAUGUUUUAUUGAACCCCUCCCAGUCAAAUGUUACUCUCUAAAAGAUAAUUGAGGGGGGAGGGUGUAAUGAAGGAACUAUUCACAGAUAAAUGGGCAUGGUUAAGGGACUGAUGAUAUGCCCAGAGGGUGGCAACAAAGGGAAGCCCUUCUUACCCCUAAGCCUAAGGGGUAGAGGGAUGAGGCUUUGUCAUAGGAGCCUGGAGGGAGUUCUAGCAGGAGCUGUAGCUGAAGGUCAAAGAAAACAACCAGGACCCAAACUGUGGCCCAGCAGGGACAGAAGGGAACAGAUACCCAGCCUUGGUCUCUUUU
ensembl:lncRNA